GCUAAUGACACCCAAACUAAAUCCCCAAUUUUUAUCACCUUCUCAAGUAAGGAUAAUUUUGAAUUUUUAUCCAAUUGACCCCUAACCCCUACUCAAAUAAAUGAAAUACCCGUAUAACAUCGAAUUUUGAAUAGUAGAGUCCGAAUGUAAUUCUUAAAAUUUAACUUUCAGAUACAUAUAAUUGUGAAACAAACUCAAUUAAUUGUCUUCCCAGAUAGUUGAGCUAUGGAGGGGGAGUUAACACAGGAGCUGUUUGCUAUGAGCAGGCCAACUGUUUGAUAAAAUGCAUCAAUGAACAAAUUCUUGGCAAGUCGGCGGUUCUACAGCAUGGAAGACACCAACAACAAGGCAUGAUACUGAAAGGUCUUCAAGUCUCCAAAAUCAGAGAAGAUCAAUGGACAAGAUUGAGAGCCAAGCAUCAAGGGUCAAGAUUGAUUGUAGUUGCACAANNN
rnacentral:lncRNA from 1 species